AUCAUGAAGAGUUUGAUCCUGGCUCAGGAUGAACGCUAGCGACAGGCUUAACACAUGCAAGUCGAGGGGCAGCGGGGAGUGGCGACACUCUGCCGGCGACCGGCGCACGGGUGCGUAACAC
rfam:Porphyromonadaceae bacterium OTH 308042 contig15, whole genome shotgun sequence.